rnacentral:tRNA from 1 species
AGUACUGUGCCGGAUAAACGGAUUAUCUUGAUGUGGUAAACAAUGAAAUUAAAGCUUUUCCAGUACUU